AGCGAACGCUGGCGGCAGGCCUAACACAUGCAAGUCGAACGAACCCUUCGGGGUUAGUGGCGGACGGGUGAGUAACACGUGGGAACGUGCCUUUAGGUUCGGAAUAACUCAGGGAAACUUGUGCUAAUACCGAAUGUGCCCUUCGGGGGAAAGAUUUAUCGCCUUUAGAGCGGCCCGCGUCUGAUUAGCUAGUUGGUGAGGUAAUGGCUCACCAAGGGUACGAUCAGUAGCUGGUCUGAGAGGAUGACCAGCCACAUUGGGACUGAGACACGGCCCAAACUCCUACGGGAGACAGCAGUGGGGAAUCUUGCGCAAUGGGCGAAAGCCUGACGCAGCCAUGCCGCGUGGAUGAUGAAGGUCUUAGGAUUGUAAAAUCCUUUCACCGGUGAAGAUAAUGACUGUAGCCGGAGAAGAAGCCCCGGCUAACUUCGUGCCAGCCGCCGCCGUAAUAC
rnacentral:rRNA from 1 species